rnacentral:SRP_RNA from 1 species
GCCAGGCAUGGUGGUGUGUGCCUGUAGUCCCAGCUACUCAGGAGGCUAAGGCUGGAGGAUCGCUUGACUACAGGAGUUCUGGGCUGUAGUGCACUAUGCCGAUUGGGUGUCUGCACUAAGUUCCGCAUCAAUAUGGUAACCUUCUGGGAGCAGGGGACCACCAGGUUGCCUAAGGAGGGGUGAACCUGCCCAGGUCAGAAACGGAGCAGGUCAAAACUCCCGUGCUGAUCAGUAGUGGGAUUGCGCCUGUGAAUAGCCACUGCAUUUCAGCCUGGGCAACAUAGCGAGACCCUGUUUCU